CCUACGGGUGGCAGCAGUGAGGAAUAUUGGUCAAUGGGCGGGAGCCUGAACCAGCCAAGUCGCGUGAGGGAAGACGGUCCUACGGAUUGUAAACCUCUUUUGCCGGGGAGCAACGGGGUCCUUGCGAGGGCCCAAUGAGAGUACCCGGAGAAAAAGCAUCGGCUAACUCCGUGCCAGCAGCCGCGGUAAUACGGAGGAUGCGAGCGUUAUCCGGAUUCAUUGGGUUUAAAGGGUGCGCAGGCGGGCCUUUAAGCCGGCGGUGAAAUCGCGGGGCUCAACCCCGCCGAGCCGUCGGAACUGGGGGCCUUGAGUGCGGCGGAGGCAUGCGGAAUGCGCGGUGUAGCGGUGAAAUGCAGAGAUAUCGCGCAGAACCCCGAGUGCGAAGGCAGCGUGCCGUGCCGCCACUUACGCUGAGGCACGAAAGCGCGGGGAUCGAACAGGAUUAGAUACCCUUGUAGUC
rnacentral:rRNA from 1 species